GAAUGUGAGAGUGAUCUGGCUGCAACAUCUGCCUCCCACUGAUCACCAGGGUUGAUUCAGCUGAUCUGAAUGGCUAGGGAGGUGUCUCCUUCCUCCCUCACCGCUCCACAUGCAUCCCUCCCGAAGCUUCAUGAUAGAGGAGCUUCCCCAGUAGAGGAGGGCCAUUCUUCCAUCAAGGUAUAGGGGUAGCUGCACUCCCCUGUAAGAACCUCCAAACAAGCUCUCAAAGUAUACAGUUUAUCUGUAGUAUUACAAUUUCAUGGGUGCUGGGGUAUAGCUCAGG
ensembl:misc_RNA 7SK 7SK RNA